GACCCGCUGCCCGAAUUGUCACCGUAUGGUGUGCGUGCCGAGAGCCUAGGGCGCGGGUCUUCU
rnacentral:ncRNA from 1 species